rnacentral:rRNA from 1 species
GAUGAACGCUGACAGAAUGCUUAACACAUGCAAGUCGAUGGGGAAGUGGUGCUCGCACCAUGGUAACCAUGGCGGACGGGUGAGUAACGCGUAAGGAACUUACCUGCGGGACCGGGAUAACAGCAGGAAACUGCUGACAAGACCGGAUAAGGUCAUUAAGCUGCAUAGCUUAGUGAUGAAAGGAGACGCCUGCGGAGAGCCUUGCGUCCUAUUAGCUAGUUGGAGGGGUAACGGCCCACCAAGGCGAAGAUAGGUAGCCGGCCUGAGAGGGUGGACGGCCACAAGGGGACUGAGAUACGGCCCUUACUCCUACGGGAGGCAGCAGUGGGGAAUAGUGGACAAUGGGGGCAACCCUGAUCCAGCAAUUCUGUGUGCACGAAGACGGUUUUCGGAGUGUAAAGUGCUUUCAGCAGGGAAGAAGGAAGUGACGGUACCUGCAGAAGAAGCGACGGCUAAAUACGUG